AACUGUUAGCAACGGAGCACUUGGCUCUCGCAUCGAUGAAGAACGCAGCGAAAUGCGAUAAGUAAUGUGAAUUGCAGAAUUCAGUGAAUCAUCGAAUCUUUGAACGCACCUUGCGCCCUUUGGCCAUUCCGAAGGGCAUGCCUGGUUGAGUAUCAUGAACACCUCAACUCUUCAUGGUUUUUCUGUUAUGAGCUUGGCCGUGGGGGGUUUUGCUGGCCUAUGGUCGGCUCCUCUAAAAUGAAUCAGCUUGCCAGUGUUUGGUGGGCAUCACAGGUGUGAUAAAUAUCUACGCUUGUGGUUUUCCACCAGGUAACCUUCAGCAAUGGAGGUUCGCUGGAGCUCACAGAUGUCUCUCCUCGGUGAGGACGACCCUUUGAAUGUUUGAUCUCAAAUCAGGUAGGACUACCCGCUGAACUUAAGCAUAUCAAUAAGCGGAGGAU
rnacentral:misc_RNA from 1 species